CCUACGGGAGACAGCAGUGAGGAAUAUUGGUCAAUGGACGGAAGGCUGAACCAGCCAUGCCGCGUGAAGGUCAGUGCCCUAUGGGCUGUAAACUUCUUUUAUGCGGGAGCAAUACUGUUCUGGUGUGACCAGACGAGAUUACCGUACCAAUCAGCAUCGGCUCAGUCUGUUCCAGCGGCCGCGGUCAUAAUGGGGAUGCAAGCGGUAUCGCGGUUUGGCGGGUUUGAAGGGUGCGUAGGCGUGGAGGUAAGUCAGCGGUGAAAUGCACUCGCUCAACGGGGGGAAGUGCCAUUGAUACUGCCGUGCUGGAAUGCGGAAGAGGUGGGAGGAAUGUGUGGUGUAGCGGUGAAAUGCAUAGAUAUCACACAGAACACCGAUGGCGAAGGCAGCUCACGAAGCGGCGAUUGACGCUGAUGCACGAAAGCGUGGGGAGCAAACAGGAUUAGAUACCCUAGUAGUC
rnacentral:rRNA from 1 species